UACAGAGGUCUCAAGCGUUGUUCGGAUUCAUUGGGCGUAAAGGGUGCGUAGGCGGCGCGGUAAGUCGGGUGUGAAAUCUCGGAGUUUAACUCCGAAACUGCAUUCGAUACUGCCGUGCUUGAGGACUGGAGAGGAGACUGGAAUUUACGGUGUAGCGGUGAAAUGCGUAGAUAUCGUAAGGAAGACCAGUGGCGAAGGCGGGUCUCUGGACAGUUCCUGACGCUGAGGCACGAAAGCGUGGGGAGCAAAAGGG
rnacentral:rRNA from 1 species